UUGUUUGACCGGUUGAGGCAACUCAGGCCGAGGUUGAGUCCGAAUCAGUGCACUUAUGGAAUGCUGUCCGGCAAGCUGCCGAGGUAUGUUGUGAAUGAAAGAGGAAUCGAGGUUGGUCCUGUAAAAAAAAAAAAAAGAAAGAGAAAAAAGAAAAGAUAUAAAGGAAAAACGAUGCAAGAAAUACCUGAACCGAAACAAAAAAAAGAGAGAUCAAACGGUCAGGUAGGAUAAUGAUUGCCAAGGGG
rnacentral:lncRNA from 1 species